rnacentral:rRNA from 1 species
ACACAUGCAAGUCGAGGGGUAUAGUAGCAAUACUAGAGACCGGCGCACGGGUGCGUAACGCGUAUGCAAUCUACCUUUUGCAGAGGGAUAGCCCAGAGAAAUUUGGAUUAAUACCUCAUAGUAUAACGACUCGGCAUCGAGAUGUUAUUAAAGUCACAACGGCAAAAGAUGAGCAUGCGUCCCAUUAGUUAGUUGGUAAGGUAACGGCUUACCAAGACUACGAUGGGUAGGGGUCCUGAGAGGGAGAUCCCCCACACUGGUACUGAGACACGGACCAGACUCCUACGGGAGGCAGCAGUGAGGAAUAUUGGACAAUGGGCGCAAGCCUGAUCCAGCCAUGCCGCGUGCAGGAUGACGGUCCUAUGGAUUGUAAACUGCUUUUGCACAGGAAGAAACAACGCUACGUGUAGCGUCUUGACGGUACUGUGAGAAUAAGGAUCGGCUAACUCCGUGCCAGCAGCCGCGGUAAUACGGAGGAUCCAAGCGUUAUCCGGAAUCAUUGGGUUUAAAGGGUCCGUAGGCGGUCUUAUAAGUCAGUGGUGAAAUCUCCCCGCUCAACGGGGAAACGGCCAUUGAUACUGUAGGACUUGAAUUAUUAGGAAGUAACUAGAAUAUGUAGUGUAGCGGUGAAAUGCUUAGAGAUUACAUGGAAUACCAAUUGCGAAGGCAGGUUACUACUAAUGGAUUGACGCUGAUGGACGAAAGCGUGGGUAGCGAACAGGAUUAGAUACCCUGGUAGUCCACGCCGUAAACGAUGGAUACUAGCUGUUGGGCGCAAGUUCAGUGGCUAAGCGAAAGUGAUAAGUAUCCCACCUGGG